rnacentral:rRNA from 1 species
GAUGAACGCUGGCGGCGUGCUUAACACAUGCAAGUCGAACGAAGCAUUUAGAACGGAUUACUUCGGUUUGAAGUUCUUUAUGACUGAGUGGCGGACGGGUGAGUAACGCGUGGGUAACCUGCCUUGUACUGGGGGAUAGCAGCUGGAAACGGCUGGUAAUACCGCAUAAGCGCACAAUGUUGCAUGACAUGGUGUGAAAAACUCCGGUGGUAUAAGAUGGACCCGCGUCUGAUUAGCUAGUUGGUGAGAUAACAGCCCACCAAGGCGACGACCAGUAGCCGACCUGAGAGGGUGACCGGCCACAUUGGGACUGAGACACGGCCCAGACUCCUACGGGAGGCAGCAGUGGGGAAUAUUGCACAAUGGAGGAAACUCCGAUGCAGCGACGCCGCGUGAGUGAAGAAGUAAUUCGUUAUGUAAAGCUCUAUCAGCAGGGAAGAUAGUGACGGUACCUGACUAAGAAGCUCCGGCUAAAUACGUGCCAGCCGCCGCUGUAA